rnacentral:rRNA from 1 species
AACACAUGCAAGUCGAGGGGCAGCAUGGUCUUAGCUUGCUAAGGCCGAUGGCGACCGGCGCACGGGUGAGUAACACGUAUCCAACCUGCCGUCUACUCUUGGACAGCCUUCUGAAAGGAAGAUUAAUACAAGAUGGCAUCAUGAGUCCGCAUGUUCACAUGAUUAAAGGUAUUCCGGUAGACGAUGGGGAUGCGUUCCAUUAGAUAGUAGGCGGGGUAACGGCCCACCUAGUCUUCGAUGGAUAGGGGUUCUGAGAGGAAGGUCCCCCACAUUGGAACUGAGACACGGUCCAAACUCCUACGGGAGGCAGCAGUGAGGAAUAUUGGUCAAUGGGCGAGAGCCUGAACCAGCCAAGUAGCGUGAAGGAUGACUGCCCUAUGGGUUGUAAACUUCUUUUAUAAAGGAAUAAAGUCGGGUAUGGAUACCCGUUUGCAUGUACUUUAUGAAUAAGGAUCGGCUAACUCCGUGCCAGCAGCCGCGGUAAUACGGAGGAUCCGAGCGUUAUCCGGAUUUAUUGGGUUUAAAGGGAGCGUAGAUGGAUGUUUAAGUCAGUUGUGAAAGUUUGCGGCUCAACCGUAAAAUUGCAGUUGAUACUGGAUAUCUUGAGUGCAGUUGAGGCAGGCGGAAUUCGUGGUGUAGCGGUGAAAUGCUCAGAUAUCACGAAGAACUCCGAUUGCGAAGGCAGCCUGC